rnacentral:lncRNA from 9 species
GUGGCCCUGGUAAACCUCCCACACACCCACACCCACACACCCCUUUUGUGUUGCAGGCUGCCCCUCCAAGAGCAGAGGCAGCAAGAGGACGAGUGUACCUCGCACCGGUCCACACAGGGAAAGCAGUAGGGACGGAGCCCGGCACCGCCUCCUGGUCCUCCCUCCAGGCAACCAGGAAAACAAGAACUAGCAGGAGUUUGACAAACGCCGGGAUUCAUUCACCUGCCUAUUGCUUCAUUCCUGGAAUUUGCACUGCACCUGUCUAAUUCAGGUAUUUGGAAAAAAACAAACUUUGACAUGGUGGGGGGAGAAUGCUUUUGUGCAGAAGGUAGUAGCACCAUAUCUCUUACUUCAAAAAAAUGUUCCUAUGAUAGUAGAGGAAAUAUUAGUACUUGUCAUGUCUUUUGAACUUAGAACUCCUAUUAACGCCCCUGAGAUGCUCGCCGCACUCGUGGGGUGCUGGACACUUACAUAACAUUUCUGCUUUCCCCCACGCGCAUUUUGUACCUCCUCAGAACCACAGUUGUCACGGUUCAUUAUCUGUAGAUGAUCUUGAGCAGCCUUGCUCUCGAAAAGAAUAUGCCGUAGCAUCUGCCUCUGGGCUUCUGUGCCCUGCUGUACAGAUGACAUUUUCGCAGCAGUAUUGGGUAGGGCGGGAGAGGAGGCCGAAUUUGUCUCAGGCUGACGUUUCACUGUGCCAUACCAUGCCUUCCUCUUUCAUAUACGCCUAGUUCAACAGUAAAGUACAUACAUCACGUCGUGACUAUUACAUAUGUUCGAGUAUGUAAUUGGGGUUGUAAAGUAUCUGCUUGAAUGUCUUAACUAAUGAAUUCUAUCAAAUUCAAUUAUCAUUCUUGGACUCUUCAUUAACCAAUCAAAUUGCUUCUUUGGUCUGUCAUUUCUCACACCCUCUCACUCGGCAUAAACACAAUUCUCUGGAGUAAAUUGGAGGUGAUUAAAUUAUCUCACGGAUCGUUAUUGGGAGGCCCAUGUAACUGAAGUCUUGGAUUUCCAAAUAACCACCUUGCACGUGGUUCUCACUUGAGACAGGAGAAAUGUUAGCGUAUAAGGCUGUGUCUUGAACUUUAUUCCUCUGUUUGCAUCUUAGUUUCCCCACCUCCCGAGGAAGUUGGCUGCGGUAGGUCUCGAAUACUAAAAUCGCACAGAAGUAAACCAAGUCUACCUAUGAAUUCACCAUCUAAUUAAAUAAACCUGUCCAGUAAGCUUGUGUUAUAAUACACGUUCUUCUCCUUUGGGGAAUGAACCAUUUCAAUACUAGAAGUUUCUCCUAUCUCUGAAUCAGUGUGGUAUUACAGUAGAGGAUCACAGCUGUUGUUGUUGCUGAAACUUGUUUCUUUCCAACUGUUAGAAUUUCUUUUUUUUUUUUUAUCAGUUUCCUCAACUUUAUUUUAUUUAUUUAUUUAUUUUUUUUUGUCUUUUGUUGUUGUUGUUAUUGCUAUUUCUUGGGCCACUCCCUCGGCAUUAUUGUUGUUGUUGUUGCUAUUUCUUGGGCCGCUCCAGCGGCACAUGGAGGUUCCCAGGCCAGGGGUCGAAUCGGAGCUGCAGCCACCGGCCUACACCAGAGCCACAGCAACGCGGGAUCGGAGCCGCGUCUGCAGCCCACACCACAGCCCACGGCAACGCCGGAUCUUUAACCCACUGAGCAAGGGCAGGGACCGAACCCGCAACCUCAUGGUUCCUAGUCGGAUUCGUUAACCACUGCGCCACGACGGGAACCCCCUCCAACUGUUAGAAUUUCUUUACAUAGACUAUUAAAAACAAAUGCAGUGAUUCUGAAAGUGCAUAUAGCUGGAAUCAAAAGUACUUUAGUUUCCUAGGAAAUAAUUGUCACUGCUAAUAUGUAAUGGUUAUUUCAAUCAUUUUGUAGUGAAAGGCAUGGCUGAUGCUCAGACAGUGUGGUUCUUACCAUACAAUUCUUCAAAUUAUUCCCAUUUUGUUUGCUUUGAUGCCUUUUAGAAACAAUUUCAUCUUCUCCUCUGCAAAUAUUUUGGGAAAUACCUCAAAAUGUAGCCUGAAGCAACCUAAGAAAGUGUCUAUUCCUGCGUUCCAUGCCAAACUUAUUUAAUCAGCAUCUUUGGGAGAAGGCUCUAGAACCAGCAUUUAAAGUAUGUAUAUAGAAUUAUCCCAAUGCACUCCAAAGUUUAAAAACUACUACUCCAAAACACGAGAGCAAGGAAAAAGCCCAGAGAAUAACAUUGUAAAACUAUAGACAUACAAUUGAUAUAAAAAUAUUGAAAAUAAAUUAGGAUUUUGAGUUUUCCUACAUAUUAUUAUUUCCUAGGACUGUGCAAAGGAUUUUAGACUGUUUUCCCUUUCAUUUGAAUCUUAAAUAUUGGAAUUAAAAUUUAAAUGUCAAAGAUGUUAAGGAUAUGAAUGUUUAUCAAUUUUAAAGUUUCCCGAGGUCACCAAACAAUGAAUGAUCUCUAUAAUAGUAAAAGGUAUUAAAUUCGUAAUUUGUGCCGUUAUUAUUUCCACUUUUGAGUCUUCAGUUUUACAAAGCUUUCUAAAUAACAAGCCAUUCUUUCAUUAUUCGAUAUGUCUAAAAAGCAUCACUCCUUUAAAAUCCCCAUCUAUGCUUCCAUCACAUUUUCCACUGAGACAGCUCCUAUCAGGGUCAGACUUUCGAAAGGUAAUUUAUUGGUACACCUAGGUUAAAAUUUUUGGCCAAAGGUACUCCAUUUAUUCAUAAGUGACUAUUUUCCUAUUUGCUGAUUUUAGUAAGGGAAUUUCCUCAUCGCUUUAUUUUUAAUGGAAAAAGUAUUAGACAGAGUUUGCCAACUAAAUAUGCCAAACUCGACAGUAUGCAUUUAAGCUGGAUGGGACAAAGAACUGGCUUCAGAACCAUGAAAAUACAGAAUGCUGUGAUUACCACUGACACUGGAUGAGAGCAAAACAAUAUUCGACUUCCUAGGAAAACCACGGAGACUGACCCAUAGAAUUAAUUCUUGCUUCCUGUGUUGUGGAAUCCAUAAGGGUCUAAAAGGGGAAAAUGCUCAAAACCUCUAGGUUUUCAGAUGUACUUACUUUAUAAAGUAAAUGUAUUCUGAAAGAGUUGAAGUCUUUUUCAAAUUCAUAGGAAUCUUUUUGAUCAAUAAAAUACUCUUGAUUUUUAAGCUGGGUUUAAACAUCACAUUUACAAUACAGGUGGCCACUAAUGUCAACUGGGUUGUAUUUCACAAGUUUAAUUUAAAAGUUAAAUAUUUCAAACUCAAAACAUUUUCACCCAGAAAUGAUGCCAUAAAUGAUGUGAGAUGCUCAUAUUCCACUUUUUAAUCCAUAAAAUUAUACUCAGAUCAUAUGAUUUGUAAAAAGAGAGCUGGAAGUGGAAAGUAAUAGAAAAUAAUACUGCGUGAUUCUAAAAAAGUAAAUCAAUUAAACAGAUUUUUUAAAAUUCUUGUUUACUUUGAAUAGAAACAGCAAAGAAAAACAAGUUGGAUCAUCAGUAAAUGAGAAAGAGAGAGUAGGAGGCUUUGGGAAAACACAGAGUGGUUAUAACAUGAGCAGUAUCCUCCUGAGCAGAGAAAAAGUAGAUGGAAGAAAGAAAUGUGAGGUAGAGCUAGAGCCUGAGGGGCAAAGUGGUCUCACGUAAAGGUAGCUGAGCCGUACUCGACUGGCUCUUAAAUAGAGAGGAUGCUCAUUAAUGGCCAUGUUCAUAAUUCAGGGGAGCAGGUGCAGUCAGUUAUUUUUAAGGCAAUAGAUGUGUAUUAUAUGUACACAUCCAUUUAGGAAGUGUUUCAGCAGAGACAAUGAGCAUGAAUGAUAAUUCAAGGAACGUCAACAAAUGAUAUAAAUAGAGAACUCGAUGUAGCAACGUGUUUUUCUCUGAAUUACUCAACCCACCGCUCGACUUCGUUGGACCUCACUUCCUAAGGAAAUCUAUCCUCUUUGUCUUUCAGAAAGUUCAGCAUCAGGUGUUCGGGUGGACCACAUUUACCCGUUUGCUGCCUUUACCCAUACAGGUGUUUCUUUAAUUUGCUAAAUAUUCCUUGAAUACCUACUGUACUUUAGGUACUUUGUGAAAUUUGCUACUCUUGCCCCAGACAGUACACCAAAUGGACAUUUUGUUCUCUUUGAAUCUUAGUGUUUCCCAUUUUACUAUUUCUCUUUCUUUUCAUUAAAUGUGGAUGGUUGGGAAAACAGGAAGUACCUGUGCCUGGGAUGGAGGACAAGGAGUAUGAGUAACCCAGGGAAUGAGGUCCAAAUGAGGGCAUAUCUGUCUUAUUCCUUCUCUGUUCCUUGGACGCCAAGGAAUUCUUAGCAGCUCUGAGUCCCUUUUACUUUAAUUUAACCUAACGAACAAGUGGGAGAGGUGGAAAAGCAGACAGACUGUAUCGUCAUGACUAACAUUAUCCAAAGAAAAAUUGAUAAUUUCAACGUAAAAGCCUGCAAUAUCUAGCAUCUCUGGCUUCGAUGAAGUCUCACUACUAGGCUAACCUGCAGUGUGAGAAGCAAGAAGUUAAGUCCAUCCUAGAAAAAGGGACCCAUAAUUCUUCAUCAGUUCUAAUUUUUAGUAAAAUAAAAUAUCUAAAAGAAAAGUUGCCAGAAUCUCUAUUACUAUGUAGGUUGAGGCACAAAAUAAGUUACUAUGUACAUUCCUAAAAUCCCUCUUCACUCCGGAAACCCCACUGGAAAAAUAAUGGUGCAUUUUCCGUUGAAGAAACUUUUUUAAAGAAAUUUUUUAGGAGCUCCUGUUGUGGCUUAGCGGUUAACAAACCUGACUGGUAUCCACGAGGAUGCGGGUUCGAUCCCUGGCCUCACUCAGUGGGUCAGGGAUAUGAUGUUAUGGGGAGCUGUGGUGUAGGUUGCAGAUGCGGCUCAGAUCCUGCGUUGCUGUGGCUGUGGCUUAGGCCAGCGGCUGUAGCUUCAAUUCGACCCCUAGCCUGGGAACUUCCAUGUGCCUCAGGUGCAGGCCUAAAAAGCAAAAGAUUACAAAAAAAAAAAAAAAGGAUACGAGAGUAUUGGCCACAUUCAAAAGGGAGUCUUAGGACAGGCAUGGUCCAUUCCUGUGCUGAAUGUCUCUACUUCACAGCUUUCAAAAACGUCUAGGAAAUCCUCCUAUGCCAGUCAGUCUUCCCGGUCCUGUGUCCUCACCUCUGUCCUCGUGGAGAUUUCAUGGUAGGGAAGAGGCAACUACUAACAAGAAGCAAAUAAAUAUUCAGACCCACUAAAAGAGGGCUCAGCAAUAACGCUCAUCAUACUCUUCUCUGUAGUCUUCCUCCUCCAAGUUUUUUCCAGUCAAUGAUCCACCUCUUUUUAAUCUCACUGAUUCUUCCUGUUGUCUCUUAUGCACCAAAAUCAGUCUGAUCCACUCAUUUUAACUCUUUCAAGCUUUAACAGCCCGUUAAAUGAAAUGUAUAAAUUUGCAUGUUAGAUUAGGCUCUAUGCCUGAGAAAUCUAAUCCAGAUAGCUAGCCCUAAGUAAUGUCAGAUGGCUACACCGUGGCCAUUAUGGAAUCAAGCAGCCCACAACCUAGGCAGCAAGAGGCACCAUUUCCGAUCCUGAGGUUUUCUUAAUUACAUUUUCCAGUGACUAAGUGUCCUAUUCUGGGACACAUAAGAAUGAACAGUUUGCUCUGUCAUGCUGCCUGUCUGGCAAAGUAACUUCACCGUGGAUGAAGUUGGACUAGCCGCUUUUAAAGUCAAUAAGGAUUACAUGGAUCCAGUUAAUAUAAAAGGAACAGACUUGCAGUAAUUGUUGUGGUAACACGAUGGAAAAUUACCUAACUGAUGAUAUUGGAUGUAACUCAGGAAACACAUUAGAAGAAAGGUAUAUACAGCAAUUUUUAAGAAUGUGCACAUUACCUAAUUUAUAAUGACAUAUACUCGUUGUUUGAAAAUGUAUAGAAAUUGGACAAUACUUAAUUUUUUUCUUUAUUAAAAAUAAUGACAUUAAAAUGAAACAUUUAAUUAGAGUAUAACCACUCUAAUAAUAAAAAUAAUUUUUACACUUAUUUCAGUUUAAAAGAUAUUUUAUGGAGAAGUUAAAUACUUUUUUAUUUUAUUAGCUUAAUAAAAGCAAAACUUUUACUGCUUUAAUUAGUUGAUUAAGAGUUGAUUCUUUCUUUUUUCGUUUUUUUUCUUUUUUUAGGGCUGUACCCACGGCAUAUGGAAGUUCCUGAGCUAGGGGGUCAAAUCGGAGCUGCAGCUGCCAGCCUACACCACAGCCACAACAAUGCCAGAUCCAAGCUGCAUCUGUGACCUUCACCACAGCUCAUAGCACCAGAUCCUUAACCCACUGAGCGAGGCCAGGGAUCAAACCCACAUCCUCAUGGAUACUAGUUGGAUUCAUUUCCGCUGCCCCACAAUGGGAACUCCUGGAGCCAAUUCUUUUGGUAUGAAUAUAUUUUUUGUCGAUUUUUAGGCAUUUAAGGAAUUUUCAUUUUGCCAUGCUUUAAACCCCCAAGUAAUGUGCAGCUAAACACAUCUUGAACAUAUACCCAGGAGAAUAACACAGUUCACAUGAAUAUUGGCGAGAACUUGAUAAAAUCUUCUAGCAAAACAGAACCAGAAGGAAAUACAUAAAAUAGAUGGAAGAAUAUUUUGAAAACCCAGAAUGAAUGUGAGGCCACAUAGAGAUGUGUUGAAGGACAUAAAAUUGUUUCAGGUAGUAUAGUGACAGAAAACUAUCCUUUUCCUCCUAACUUUGUAAAAUUUGUCUCAUUUCACUGCAUGCUUGUAGGUUUACCACUGAUUAUUAAUUCAUUUUAUACCUGAGAUGAGGCAUUUACCACCUCUUGUUCAUAUAUACGUACCUUCACAGUAUGACCACUAUAAAUAUUUCUAAAUAAAUAUAUAGAUCAGCAAACAGUAAAACACUGAAAACCCUCAAGGGUUGGAAAAGGAGAGCUUGGAGACGGAGUAUAAAGAUGGAGAGCUGGUGUCAUGACCAGGGAGAGGUAGGUCCCUUCAGUCUCUAAUGGCUGCAGGACUCCGGUCUAAGGAGGCUAGAGAUCUGGAACUGAAAUUCGACUGGGAAUUUGGGGUUAGUAAAUGCAAACUAUUGCAUUUGGAGUGGGUGAGCAAUGAGACCCUGCUGUAUAGACAGGGAACUAUAUAUAGUCACUUGUGAUGGAACAUGAUAUGACUGAGUCACCUGGGUCGCUUUGCUGUACAGCAGAAAUUGACAGAACAUUGUAAAUCAACUACAAGAAAAAUUUUAACCAAAAAAAAG